AACCAAAGGAGCAAUCCGCUAUGAGAUGGACCCGCGGCGCAUUAGCUAGUUGGUGGGGUAACGGCCUACCAAGGCGACGAUGCGUAGCCGACCUGAGAGGGUGAUCGGCCACAUUGGGACUGAGACACGGCCCAGACUCCUACGGGAGGCAGCAGUGGGGAAUAUUGCACAAUGGGGGAAACCCUGAUGCAGCAACGCCGCGUGAGUGAUGAAGGUUUUCGGAUCGUAAAGCUCUGUCUUUGGGGAAGAUAAUGACGGUACCCAAGGAGGAAGCCACGGCUAACUACGUGCCAGCAGCCGCGGUAAUACGUAGGUGGCGAGCGUUAUCCGGAUUUACUGGGCGUAAAGGGAGCGUAGGCGGAUGAUUAAGUGGGAUGUGAAAUACCCGGGCUCAACUUGGGUGCUGCAUUCCAAACUGGUUAUCUAGAGUGCAGGAGAGGAGAGUGGAAUUCCUAGUGUAGCGGUGAAAUGCGUAGAGAUUAGGAAGAACACCAGUGGCGA
rnacentral:rRNA from 1 species